rnacentral:rRNA from 1 species
UACAGAGGGUGCUAGCGUUGUUCGGAAUCAUUGGGCGUAAAGGGCGUGUAGGCGGUUUGUUAAGUCAUGUGUGAAAUCCCUCGGCUCAACCGGGGAACGACGCAUGAAACUGGCAAGCUAGAGUACCAAAGAGGGGGGUGGAAUUCCCGGUGUAGCGGUGAAAUGCGUAGAUAUCAGGAGGAACACCCGAGGCGAAGGCGGCUCUCUGGGUCGUACCUGACGCUGAGGCGCGAAAGCUAGGGGAGCAAACAGG